GACGAACGCUGGCGGCGUGCUUAACACAUGCAAGUCGAACGGAAAGGCCCUGCUUGCAGGGUACUCGAGUGGCGAACGGGUGAGUAACACGUGGGUGAUCUGCCCUGCACUUCGGGAUAAGCCUGGGAAACUGGGUCUAAUACCGGAUAGGAGCCAUUUUUAGUGUGAUGGUUGGAAAGUUUUUUCGGUGUAGGAUGAGCUCGCGGCCUAUCAGCUUGUUGGUGGGGUAAUGGCCUACCAAGGCGGCGACGGGUAGCCGGCCUGAGAGGGUGGACGGCCACAUUGGGCCUGAGAUACGGCCCAGACUCCUACGGGCGGCAGCAGUGGGGAAUAUUACACAAUGGGCGCAAGCCUGAUGCAGCGACGCCGCGUGGGGAAUGACGGCCUUCGGGUUGUAAACUCCUUUCGCUAGGGACGAAGCUUUUGUGACGGUACCUAGAUAAGAAGCACCGGCUAACUACGUG
rnacentral:rRNA from 1 species